rnacentral:rRNA from 1 species
AUUGAACGCUGGCGGCAGGCCUAACACAUGCAAGUCGAGCGAGCGGCGGACGGGUGAGUAAUGUAUGGGGACUGCCCGAUAGAGGGGGAUAACUAAUGGAAACGGUGGCUAAUACCGCAUACUUUUGGAUAACCCAUAUGGGAUUAGCUAGUAGGUGGGGUAAAGGCUCACCUAGGAGACGAUCUCUAGCUGGUCUGAGAGGAUGAUCAGCGACGCUGAGACUGAAACGCGACCCAGAAGCCAACGGAGGCAGCAGUGGGGAAUAUUGCACAAUGGGCGCACGCCGGAUGCGGCCAUGCCGCGUGUAUGAAGAAGGCCUUAGGGUAAUAAAGUGCUUUCAGCGGGGGGGCGUUACCCGCAGGAGAAGCACCGGCUAACUCCGUGCCAGCAGCCGCGGUAAUUC